UGGGGAAUUUUCCGCAAUGGGCGAAAGCCUGACGGAGCAAUGCCGCGUGGAGGUGGAAGGCCUACGGGUCGUCAACUUCUUUUCUCGGAGAGAAACAAUGACGGUAUCUGAGGAAUAAGCAUCGGCUAACUCUGUGCUAG
rnacentral:rRNA from 1 species